UUUGCAUACUGCUCAGUAACACGUGGAUAACCUGCCCUACACUGGGGGAUAAUCUCGGGAAACUGAGCAUAAUACCCCAUAGACCACUACGCCUGGAACGGUGAGUGGUUGAAAGCUCAGGCGGUGUAGGAUGGGUCUGCGGCGUAUCAGGUCGUAGGGGGUGUAAUGGACCUCCUAGCCAUCGACGCGUACGGGUUGUGGGAGCAAUAGCCCGGAGACGGAUUCUGAGACACGAAUCCGGACCCUACGGGGUGCAGCAGGCGCGAAAACUUCACACUGCAGGAAACUGUGAUGAGGGAACUCCAAGUGACUGCCCAAUGGGUAGCCUUUUCUUGAAUCUUAAUAGUUCUUGGAAUAAGGGCUGGGAAAGACCGGUGCCAGCCGCCGCGGUAAUACCGGCAGCUCAAGUGGUCGUCGCUUUUAUCGGGCCUAAAACGUCCGUAGCCUGUUUGGUAAAUCUGUGGGUAAAUCAACGAGCUUAACUCGUUGAAUUCUGCAGAGACUGCCAGACUAGGGACCGGGAGAGGUAUGAGGUACUCUGGGGGUAGGGGUAAAAUCCUGUCAUCCUCAGAGGACCACCUGUUGUGAAGGCGUCAUACUGGAACGGAUCCGACGGUCAGGGACGAAGCCUAGGGGCACGAACCGGAUUAGAUACCCGGGUAGUCCUAGGUGUAAACGCUGUGGAUUUUGGUGUGUGGGGUCCGCAAUGGGCCCCAUGUGCCGGAGUGAAGAUGUUAAAUCCACUGCCUGGGGAGUACGGUCGCGAGGCUGAAACUUAAAGGAAUUGGCGGGGGAGCACUGCAACGGGAGGAGCGUGCGGUUUAAUU
rnacentral:rRNA from 1 species